rnacentral:rRNA from 1 species
AUUGAACGCUGGCGGCAUGCCUUACACAUGCAAGUCGAACGGCAGCGCGGGGCAACCUGGCGGCGAGUGGCGAACGGGUGAGUAAUAUAUCGGAACGUACCCUGGAGUGGGGGAUAACGUAGCGAAAGUUACGCUAAUACCGCAUACGAUCUAAGGAUGAAAGUGGGGGAUUCGCAAGAACCUCAUGCUCCUGGAGCGGCCGAUAUCUGAUUAGCUAGUUGGUGAGGUAAAGGCUCACCAAGGCUUCGAUCAGUAGCUGGUCUGAGAGGACGACCAGCCACACUGGAACUGAGACACGGUCCAGACUCCUACGGGAGGCAGCAGUGGGAAUUUGGACAAUGGGCGCAAGCCUGAUCCAGCAAUGCCGCGUGAGUGAAGAAGGCCU